UACAGAGGUCUCAAGCGUUGUUCGGAUUCAUUGGGCGUAAAGGGUGCGUAGGCGGCGCGGUAAGUCGGGUGUGAAAUCUUGGAGCUUAACUCCGAAACUGCAUUCGAUACUGCCGUGCUUGAGGACUGGAGAGGAGACUGGAAUUUACGGUGUAGCGGUGAAAUGCGUAGAUAUCGUAAGGAAGACCAGUGGCGAAGGCGGGUCUCUGGGCCUUACCUGACGCUGAGGAGCGAAAGCGUGGGGAGCGAACAGG
rnacentral:rRNA from 1 species